AUUGAACGCUGGCGGCAUGCUUUACACAUGCAAGUCGAACGGUAACAGGGUGCUUGCACCGCUGACGAGUGGCGAACGGGUGAGUAAUGCGUCGGAACGUGCCGAGUAGUGGGGGAUAACGCAGCGAAAGUUGUGCUAAUACAGCAUACGUACUGAGGUAGAAAGUGGGGGACCUUCGGGCCUCACGCUAUUCGAUCGGCCGGCGUCUGAUUAGCUAGUUGGUGAGGUAAAGGCUCACCAAGGCGACGAUCAGUAGCGGGUCUGAGAGGAUGAUCCGCCACACUGGGACUGAGACACGGCCCAGACUCCUACGGGAGGCAGCAGUGGGGAAUUUUGGACAAUGGGCGCAAGCCUGAUCCAGCCAUGCCGCGUGUCUGAAGAAGGCCUUCGGGUUGUAAAGGACUUUUGUCCGGGAGCAAAUGCCUGGUGUUAAUAGCACUGGGAGCUGAGAGUACCGGAAGAAUAAGCACCGGCUAACUACGUGCCAGCCGCCGCCGUAACAC
rnacentral:rRNA from 1 species